rnacentral:rRNA from 1 species
UACGUAGGGUGCAAGCGUUGUCCGGAAUUAUUGGGCGUAAAGGGCGCGUAGGCGGUUUGUUAAGUCGGUCGUGAAAGCCCGGGGCUCAACCCCGGAGGGUCGACCGAUACUGGCAGACUAGAGUACAGAAGAGGUAACUGGAAUUCCCGGUGUAGCGGUGAAAUGCGCAGAUAUCGGGAAGAACACCCGUGGCUAAGGCGGCUCUCUAGUACGGUACUGACGCUGAGACGCGAAAGCGUGGGGAGCGAACAGG